ACGGAAGGCAGCAGUGGGGGAUAUUGCACAAUGGGGGAAACCCUGAUGCAGCGACGCCGCGUGAGCGAAGAAGUAUUUCGGUAUGUAAAGCUCUAUCAGCAGGGAAGAAAAUGACGGUACCUGACUAAGGAGCUCCGGCUAAAUACGUGCCAGCAGCCGCGGUAAUACGUAUGGAGCAAGCGUUAUCCGGAUUUACUGGGUGUAAAGGGAGCGUAGACGGUUUGCCAAGUCUGAUGUGAAAGGUGGGGGCUCAACCCCCAAACUGCAUUGGAAACUGGUAGACUAGAGUGUCGGAGAGGUAAGUGGAAUUCCUAGUGUAGCGGUGAAAUGCGUAGAUAUUAGGAGGAACACCAGUGGCGAAGGCGGCUUACUGGACGAUAACUGACGUUGAGGCUCGAAAGCGUGGGGAGCAAACAGGAUUAGAUACCCUGGUA
rnacentral:rRNA from 1 species